UACGGGGGGAGCAAGCGUUGUUCGGAUUUACUGGGCGUAAAGGGUGCGUAGGCGGUCAGCACAAGUCAGUUGUGAAAUCUCCGGGCUUAACUCGGAAAGGUCAACUGAUACUGUGCGACUAGAGUGCAGAAGGGGCAACUGGAAUUCUCGGUGUAGCGGUGAAAUGCGUAGAUAUUGGGAGGAACACCAGUGGCGAAGGCGGGUUGCUGGGCUGACACUGACGCUGAUGCGCGAAAGCCAGGGGAGCGAACGGG
rnacentral:rRNA from 1 species